rnacentral:rRNA from 1 species
AACCUGCCUUUGAGAAGGGGAUAACUGUCCGAAAGGAUAGCUAAUACCCUAUAUUGCCUUUUGUCACUAAGACAAAAAGUGAAAGCGAGGCUGUCAAAGGCUUCGGCUCAAAGAGGGGUUCGCGUCCUAUCAGGUAGUUGGUGGGGUAAUGGCCUACCAAGCCAAUGACGGGUAGCUGGUCUUAGAGGAUGAUCAGCCACAGUGGGACUGAGACACGGCCCGCACCCCUACGGGGGGCAGCAGUGGGGAAUCGUGGGCAAUGGGCGCAAGCCUGACCCCGCAAUGCCGCGUGAGGGAAGAAGCCCUUCGGGGUGUAAACCUCUGUCAGAUGGGAAGAUGGGACUAGGGGCUAAUACCUCCUGGUCUUGACAGUACCAUCAGAGGAAGGGACGGCUA